UUUAAAGUCUAAUCUAAUCUGCCCAAUGAAUUAUUAAAUGGCCGCAGUAUUUUGACUGUGCAAAGGUAGCAUAAUAAUUAGUUUUUUAAUUGAAAACUGGAAUGAAUGAUUGAACAAAAAAAAAUCUGUCUCAAUAUAAAUUUAAAUAAAAUUUUAUUUUUAAGUUAAAAAGCUUAAAUUUUUUUAAAAGACGAGAAGACCCUAUAGAGUUUAAUAUUAAUUUUUAUAGUUUAUAUAUAUAGAAAUAAAUUAUAUUUUAUAAUUUUUAAUAUUUAAUUGGGGUGAUUAAAAAAUUAAACAAACUUUUUUUUAUUGAAAAAUCAUUUAUUUAUGAUUAUUUGAUCCAUUUAUUAUGAUUAGAAGAUUAAAUUACCUUAGGGAUAACAGCGUAAUUUUUUUUUAGAGUUCAAAUCGAUAAAAAAGUUUACGACCUCGAUGUUGGAUUAAAAUUAAUUUUUGGUGUAGAAGCUAAAUGAUUAAGUCUGUUCGACUUUUAAAAUUUUACAUGAUCUGAGUUUAAACCGGUGUAAGCCAGGUUGGUUUCUAUCUUUAAAUAGUUAAAUAUAAAUAUUUUAGUACGAAAGGACCAAGUAUUAUUUAAAUUAAUUUUAAAUUGAAUUAUAUUAAAUUA
rnacentral:rRNA from 1 species